CCUACGGGUGGCAGCAGUGAGGAAUAUUGGUCAAUGGGCGCGAGCCUGAACCAGCCAAGUCGCGUGAAGGAUGACUGCCCUACGGGUUGUAAACUUCUUUUAUAAAGGAAUAAAGUGAGGCACGUGUGCCUUUUUGUAAGUACUUUAUGAAUAAGGAUCGGCUAACUCCGUGCCAGCAGCCGCGGUAAUACGGAGGAUCCGAGCGUUAUCCGGAUUUAUUGGGUUUAAAGGGUGCGUAGACGGGUUGUUAAGUUAGUUGUGAAAUUUUGAGGCUCAACCUUAAAAUUGCAAUUGAUACUGGCCGUCUAGAGUACAGUUGAGGUAGGCGGAAUGCGUGGUGUAGCGGUGAAAUGCUUAGAUAUCACGCAGAACACCGAUUGCGAAGGCAGCUUACUAAACUACCACUGACGUUGAUGCUCGAAAGUGUGGGUAUCAAACAGGAUUAGAUACCCCAGUAGUC
rnacentral:rRNA from 1 species